GAUGAAGAACGCAGCGAAAUGCGAUAAGUAGUGUGAAUUGCAGAAUUCAGUGAAUCAUCGAAUCUUUGAACGCACAUUGCGCCCCUUGGUAUUCCAUGGGGCAUGCCUGUUCGAGCGUCAUUUGUACCCUCAAGCUUUGCUUGGUGUUGGGUGUUUGUCCCGCGUUGCGCGUGGACUCGCCUUAAAGCGAUUGGCAUCCGGCAUAUUGGCCUUGGAGCGCAGCACAUUUUGCGCUUCUAGUCAUGAAUGUUGGCGUCCAUUAAGCCUAUACAUUUGCUCUUGACCUCGGAUCAGGUAGGGAUACCCGCUGAACUUAAGCAUAUCAAUAAGCGGAGGA
rnacentral:misc_RNA from 1 species